CGGACGGGUGAGUAACACGUGGAUAACCUACCUAUAAGACUGGGAUAACUUCGGGAAACCGGAGCUAAUACCGGAUAAUAUAUUGAACCGCAUGGUACAAUAGUGAAAGACGGUUUUGCUGUCACUUAUAGAUGGAUCCGCGCCGCAUUAGCUAGUUGGUAAGGUAACGGCUUACCAAGGCAACGAUGCGUAGCCGACCUGAGAGGGUGAUCGGCCACACUGGAACUGAGACACGGUCCAG
rnacentral:rRNA from 1 species